CCAAAAGGUACUCUCAGAAGAUGGUCAGUUCUCAGCUCUUUCACUGAUGUCCUGUUUUCAGCUGCUUGUGAUAGAGAAGAAGAAUAUCUGGUGGAAAUCGGUUGAAUGAAUUAGCUUCUGAGGUACAAAUGAUUUUCUGUGCCUACAAUUUUCAAGAGAGAGACUUUGAAAAUGUGUAUGAUGAAACAAAGUUUGCUUUGCAAUCCAG